AUCUCAUGAUGUGGACACUUCCGCAGCAUAUUUUUAAACCUAUUCCAGGCAUCAUCAAAGUUCUCGGAGUCGCCCUGAUGAAAGACAGAUAUGUCAUGCUUGAGUUU
rnacentral:snoRNA from 1 species